GUUAAGACUGCUCAAGUUAGUGAAUUGUGUGUGAAGAUUGAUGAAUUCAACAUCAAAUUACAAAAUGAACAGAAGUCCAAAGAGGAGCUACAGAAACACUACCAAAAGAGAUUGCAAGAAUAUCAGAAUCAAUUUAAAGCUUUUCAAGAAGAGAAAGAUAAUGUAGUUGCUAAAGAACGGGAGGAGCUUUCGUCUUAUCGGAAAAAUCUGGAGCUACAAUUAAGAGCAACAGAAAAAGAUUGUGAGUUUCGUCAUCCAGAAAAUGUCAGUAAUUUUGAUGAAGCAAUAAGAAAAAGAGAACAAGAAUAUCGAUCAAAACUGGAUGAAACAAGAAGUCUCUUAUUGUCAAAUGACCUUAAGAUCUGAAGUUUAACAAAAGAACUGGAGUUAAUGCGAUGUGAUAGUCGUCGAUGUAAAGAGGAACUCGACAAGAGAGAACUGAGAACUCGGGAGCUGA
rnacentral:lncRNA from 1 species